UCCAGUGAACCACAUACAGGCCCUACCCUUGUGGCAGUUACAUUCUGGAAGGGAGAGGUGGGCAAAAUUUAUAGUAAGUCAGACAGCGAGAAGUGCUAAGGAGAAAAAUAAAGCUGGGAGGGGAAGUGGUUCCCAUUUUAUAAGGAUGAGCAAAGAAAGCAUCACUGAUGAUGUGCUAUUUGAGCAAAGGCCUGAAAGAAGAGAAAGGGCAAGCCACACAUCUGGGGAAGCACAUGCCAGGUGAAGAGCCCUGCAGAAGUCCAUGAUCAGGAACAAGGAGGCCAGUGUGGCUGAAACAGAGUGGGAGAUAAAGCCACCAACAUGGGCUCUUGAGAAGAUAGGAAAUCCAAAGAAAGAACCCCGGAACACUCCAAUGUUUGGGGGUCAGGAAAAUGAAGAGGAGCCAGCAAAGGACACCACGAAGGGGGCAGCCAGUGAGAUGAGACAAAGGAGGCUCAGAGGAUUAAGUGACCUGCCCGCAGCAACACGGAGAAGAUGUGGUGGAACCAGGGAUCAAAAAUUUGUCCUCUGUGUAUAUAGCGCCUCAACUUUCCAUCACACUUGCCUUCCUGGUGACCUGAUAUCCCAGGAUUUUCACUUACUGCUCUGGGGACACAUUGGUUAAAUCCAAGUGGUUUGCAGGCACUGACUGGCAACAUAACUGUGGUCAAUAGAAGAAUGAUGUACUGAGUGGUGGUCACUUAGAACCAUGCAUCUGCCACCCCUCGAGGCUGGGCCAUGAAGAAGGCAUGGCUCGGCUGGCACGGUGGCUCACACCUGUAAUUCCAGCAAUUUGGGA